rnacentral:misc_RNA from 1 species
AAGGAGAUAGAUAUCAGCAUCAUUAUAGACAGCACGAGCAAGUUGAAUCCUCUGCUUCUGCCCCCCGCUCAUAUUAAGUCCUCUUUGGCCUAUUUCUAUGAGAUCUCCAUGAUUGAAACUGUUAAUGUCCUUGUCUAAAGCGCAUGCUUUUAUUGCCUUCUCAUAUCUGGCCUCGUCCAUUGGCUUUCCAUAGAGUAUGUUAUCACGA